GUAGUUGUAGCCAAGUGGUAAGGCAAUAGACUAGAAAUCCAUCGGACAAACCCUGUGCAGAAUCUUCGCAACUACG
rnacentral:tRNA from 1 species